rnacentral:tRNA from 1 species
GGGGGGGUAGCUCAAUGUUGUUUUUGGCAGAGCUAGAUGGUGCUUGCCCAGUGGCAAGCCAACCACCUGAUGCUGGUUCAAAUCCAGCCCCUUCCC